UCAGGCGACUGGAUGGCUGCGCUCGAACGGGCAACCGAUCGGGUGAGGAAAGUCCGGGCUCCACGGAGACACGGUGCCGGCUAACGGCCGGCGGGGGCGACCCCAGGGAAAGUGCCACAGAGAACAGACCGCCGGGCCAGCUUGCUGGCCAGGUAAGGGUGAAACGGUGGGGUAAGAGCCCACCGCGCGACCGGCAACGGGAGCGGCACGGCAAACCCCACCGGGAGCAAGACCAAAUAGGGGCGGCACGCCGGGCAACCGGCAGCGGUGUUUCCGCGUCGUCGCCCGGGUCGGUCGCGCGAGGUGCUCGGUAACGGGCAUCCCAGAGGAAUGGCCAUCCAUCGCCUUCGGGCGAGGACAGAACCCGGCUUACAGGCCGCCUGACCCU
rfam:Kaistia sp. SCN 65-12 ABS35_C0309, whole genome shotgun sequence.